rnacentral:rRNA from 1 species
GACAGAGGGUGCAAACGUUGUUCGGAAUUACUGGGCGUAAAGCGCGUGUAGGCGGCUAAGUAAGUCGGGCGUGAAAUCCCACGGCUCAACCGUGGAAGUGCACUCGAAACUGCAUAGCUAGAGUCCUGGAGAGGAAGGUGGAAUGCUUGGUGUAGAGGUGAAAUUCGUAGAUAUCAAGAGGAACACCUGCGGCGAAGGCGGGUUGCUGGGCUGACACUGACGCUGAGGCGCGAAAGCUAGGGGAGCGAACGGG